CUGCUACAACAGACCUACACACCAUUCCUUCCUGUGCAUCAGCAUCCUCACUAUGUGAUCACAAGCACGUACGUCGGCCACCAGCUCACGGCGGGCGGCCGACGGAGAUCCAACAUGGGUAGUGGUGUGGCCACCCGCAGGGCAACUUGAACCUUUGGCAUUCCGAGCUUCUCCAUGACCUGUCUUCUUGAGCUGUUCUUGCUGCUUACGGAGUUGUCUGUCCACAGGUCAAGCAAAUAAUAUCAUCCUCCUAUGCGUUGCAGUUGUGUUCAUGUAUUGCAUGUUUGCUUGAUUAAGCUCAUGGUUUCUGCAUUUGUAGACAAGUCUCAUCGAUAUGAUCUUCUACUAAAUGGCAUCUUCUUUCAUUGAUGAUGUGGUGUAUGUUCUUGAAUUUGUCAGCCGGAGAUUGUAAGCAAUAGUUGAGUUUGGAUUUGUGUGAAGAGUUGGGUAAUACCUAGAUCGAUUUCAAACAAAAAGCUCACAGAUACACUCAAUCUGGAUUUCCAGUGCAAUGCUGCAUGUUCAUCCACCAUGCCCUGCAACAUGUAUCUUGCCAAUAUUCCUUUUAUUCAUAAUUUGAUUGCCAAUGCUAAGAACAGUUGGAUACAGAAAACAUUGUACAAUCAUUCGAUUUAAUUAGGCUCCUUACUCACACAGAACAUAAAUUUUCUUGCUUCAGAAGCGCAUUCCGAAAGAAUAGUUCUUGAUACACCAAUAAAAGCAAUCUACGAUACAUCCACUCUUCAUCUAUGAUACAAGCAAUCUAUGCCUCUUCAUCUUGUUCACUCAAUAAUUUCUAACAAGCAGCAGCCCAAUUGCUGUGAUAAUUAUCGUCGUGGGGAAUCCGAAUCGCAGAUGAGUCAGAAAAGAGAGAUUGUAUCCAAACGAUUGAGAUCGGCGAGCCUGUUCACAUACUAUCAAAUUUGCAGCUGAUCCCAGAAGUGACAGGUUCCCGGCAACCGUGCUCACCCAUGCUAAUAGGAGCCAUGCCUUGGUCUCCUCAGCAGGAGAAAUUUCUGCAGCAGAUGCGGCCACCCGAGCUCCAAGGAGGAGAACUAAAGCAAGCAGAGUAUGUUAGGUUGCAGACUACGGUUUACUGGCAAUCAUAUCCAGGCAUGGAGAACCAUAUGAAAGCAUAUAGUGACAGAAUAAAAAGGGCGCCAGAUAAGGAAUCUGAUAGUUUUUUUAUGUUCUUGAAAAGUUCAGGGAUUGUUCAGACUUAUGGUUUUAUAUGUCGUAUUUGAGUUGUGUUCAUGUUCUUUAAGUUAAAAAGUCAUGUGCAAUUUAUUUCUGCAGGUUGAUAAUACAUUUGAAGGCCAUCUGUUUCUGAACAAAAAGAUAUCUCCCUGAAUGUACAAAAUGGUAAUCUUUUAAGUUAUUGCAACAGCUAUUUAGGCCAUCAUUUUGAUACCAUCAUCCAUGAAAGAAGUAAAUGGAUCUCAUUUUUAAAGAAAUAAUCAAUUCAUGGAUUUUCUGAAAUUAACUCAUGCAAUUUGAGAAAUCAGGCAACCCUUUUCAAUUUUAUGAUGAUUAACAAAAUAUGAUAUUCCACCCACAACCUAUGCUCAUAAAAUUAGAAUGUUUAACUAUUAAGGCAAUUCCUUUACAAGAACAGUCCUAUAACUAUGAGAAAUGUAGAAUUUUAAUAUAUUGUGGAAUAUAGAGCAAAUAAUUAGUUCAAAUAUGUGUCAUAUAUAUUUGACGGCAAUCAUCAUCAGCG
rnacentral:lncRNA from 1 species